rnacentral:misc_RNA from 1 species
CGGACCCUGCCCCAUGGAGCAGGGCACCUGGCCUUCUCCCAGAGGGGACUGCUGGUGGCGGGAAUGGGUGACGUUGUCAACAUCUGGGCAGGGCAGGGGGCCGGUGAGCCCAACUUCGAUGGCCUGGAGAGUAAUCCAUACAGAAGCCGGAAGCAGCGCCAGGAGUGGGAGGUGAAGGCCCUGCUAGAGAAGGUACCUGCAGAGCUUAUUUGUCUGGACCCACGAGCCCUGGCCGAGGUGGAUGUCAUCUCCCUGGAGCAGGGAAAGAAGGAGCAGAUAGAGAGGCUGGGCUAUGACCCGCAGGCUAAGGCUCCCUUCCAGCCAAAGCCAAAGCAGAAGGGCCGCAGCUCCACGGCAAGCCUGGUGAAGAGGAAGAGGAAGGUCAUGGAUGAGGAACACAGGGACAAGGUCCGGCAGAGCCUUCAGCAGCAGCAUCAUAAGGAGGCGAAGGCCAAGCCCACGGGGGCCCGGCCAUCUGCCCUGGACAGAUUUGUGCGCUGAGCCAGACUCCAGGGUUGCCUGGGAACAGUCUCUCCCCAAGAUCACCUGUAGGGAAAUGAGUGUUCCCUGGAACAAGGAGGUGGGGGCAGUGUGGCCCCUUCCCCAACUGGGGGUGGACAGCUGUCUCCUGGGGUGGGUUGGUAUUAAAGAGGAAAGCGAUUUUUUGGA